UCAAACUUGGUCAUUUAGAGGAAGUAAAAGUCGUAACAAGGUCUCCGUUGGUGAACCAGCGGAGGGAUCAUUACCGAGUUUUCAACUCCCAAACCCCUGUGAACCAUACCUAUCGUUGCCUCGGCGGACCGCCCCGGCGCCCUCGGGCCCGGAACCAGGCGCCCGCCGGAGGACCCAAACUCUUGUUUUAUAACAGUAUCUUCUGAGUGGCAUAAGCAAAAAUAAAUCAAAACUUUCAACAACGGAUCUCUUGGUUCUGGCAUCGAUGAAGAACGCAGC
rnacentral:misc_RNA from 1 species